CCAUUUGUAUUUCUAUGGGGUUGGGGUCAUGUCCAGCCAAUCCCUUACAGAGGUUCGAGAGGACUCCAGCUCCUUACAUGCCACAGCAUUUGGAAUUUAGAGCUUGAGACAGUCACUAUCCUGACUUGAUCCUGGCUUCUGAGGUUUGUGCAAAUGGAAACUGAUGACUCAGAAGGAUUGUUCUGGGACUGGCUCAUUAGACUCUGCAGAAAAUACCACAAUGGCUUUUCCAGAGAGGGCAAAUGUGAUUCCAUGAAUAAACACGCUGUACUAACUGGGUGUUUCCAACUAUUUCAGUUGUCUCUCCAAUUUCUGCAGCCAGGAGAAAGAACACAUGAAUUAAAGGUGGUCUCAACUCUGUCAUCAUUUAUUCAUCCCUACAGUUUACCACAUCUGAUGGUAUAGUCCAAGCUGUGAGACCCUGGUGUGAAAGUGCAUCAACUAUCAGCACUGAAAGUACUACUCUGUCAGCUGUUGACCACAGGAACCCAGAAGAAAACCAGGCUGAUAUGUCUCUGAGAGUACUGGCAGGAACCUUUGUACCAUACAAAGACACAGCAUCAGUACUGCUUCAAGGCUCUCCCUGUGGCAGCAGGAGAGAAGAAGACAGAGAGUCAAGAUUCCUCCUGUGUCAUGCUUCUUGUCACGUCUUUCCUCACCUGAUGCCCCAAGAGGUGUGAGCAGAGACAGACUGCAUGCGAAUUGGGUUGCCUCACUUUCUGCUCUGACUUGAGCAUCUUUGCAGGAGCUGAUCCCUGAACAAAGCUCAUUGGAGGGGGGUGAACAGUAUCAUAGCACUGUGGCUGGUGCAAAAAGGCACUGCUGAUCCCAGAUGUUUAAAAAUUGCAGAAACUAGAAGAAUAAUAAAAUUAGCUAGAAAAAAUAC